UACGUAGGGGGCAAGCGUUGUCCGGAAUUAUUGGGCGUAAAGAGCUCGUAGGCGGCUUGUCGCGUCGUCCGUGAAAACCCACAGCUCAACUGUGGGCUUGCGGUCGAUACGGGCAGGCUAGAGUUCGGUAGGGGAGACUGGACUUCUUGGUGUAGCGGUGAAAUGCGUAGAUAUCAAGAGGAACACCGGUGGCGAAGGCGGCAUCCUGGACCGGCAUUGACGCUGAGGCGCGAAAGCGUGGGGAGCAAACAGG
rnacentral:rRNA from 1 species